CCAGAUUUGCACAGCAGGUCCAAGAUCCUGGCUUCAGGCAGCAGCUCGCUGCUCAGUCUUAUAUCACACAAAAGAGCUUUGCCCAGGCGCGUCGCCCGCUCUUUUCAUCCAAUCAUCUCCUGACAGGCAGUCUGGAAAGAAAGCGUACUCAUAUUGAUUCCGAAGGCACAAUUGGAACUCCGGCAUUUUCUUCUGGGCUCUGGGGUCGAGACGAAGGGGUUGGCAGUGCUGGCUGGGAAGCAAAGGAACAGCAGACACACAGGAGCUGAAGUGACAGUAAAUGAAGCUGCGGUCUUCAGGCUUAGGUGGAGUCGGGCGUUCUGCGCAUCUGUACCUCUGACAAAUGGAUUUGGUCCUCAGUUCCAGCCAUCAUCUGAUUUCAAGUUUGGUUACCUAGGAAACAGAGGGCACACUGCUGGGACAGUCAGCCCGUGUUCUGUGCCGACCAAAGCUAUUAAAACCCAUCAAGUCAGCCUCGGAGAAGCUGAGCACGGACAGUUUCAACUUCCAGCCAGCCCUGUCCUUUGCAAACGAAGAGAAGAUGAGCAGAAACUUAAAGCUGUCAGACUUGGUUACCUGCUACCAGCUCCGCCGCAGACCAGGUAGGCGAGUCAGAGACUAAUAGGAGGCUUGUCAUGGGUAUUUUCUGUAUUAGCUCUGUGCCUCCU
rnacentral:lncRNA from 1 species